rnacentral:rRNA from 1 species
CGGACGGGUGAGUAACGCGUGGGUAACCUGCCUUAUACAGGGGGAUAACAGUCAGAAAUGGCUGCUAAUACCGCAUAAGCGCACAGAGCUGCAUGGCUCAGUGUGAAAAACUCCGGUGGUAUAAGAUGGACCCGCGUUGGAUUAGCUAGUUGGCGGGGUAACGGCCUACCAAGGCGACGAUCCAUAGCCGGCCUGAGAGGGUGAACGGCCACAUUGGGACUGAGACACGGCCCAAACUCCUACGGGAGGCAGCAUG